rnacentral:rRNA from 1 species
AUGCCGCGGUGAAUACGUUCCCGGGCCUUGUACACACCGCCCGUCACACCACGAGAGUUUGUAACACCCGAAGUCGGUGAGGUAACCUUUUGGAGCCAGCCGCCUAAGGUGGGACAGAUGAUUGGGGUGAAGUCGUAACAAGGUAGCCGUAUCGGAAGGUGCGGCUGGAUCACCUCCUUUCU